rnacentral:lncRNA from 1 species
GACAACUGAGAUAUAAACUUUUAGAUUAGUUGACCAGCGGCAAUGUUUGUUUCAACUAAUUAAACCUCAGAUGAACUAGUUUUCCACAAAUUUCACAAAUCAAGUUGUAAACCCUGGACCAGAUGGACCGGCAUGGACCAAAGCCGACGGUCCAUCUGGAAAUUUUGGAAGGAAGGAGGUGGAGGGCGGCAACUGUUGAGGCGGUUAUAACCGCCUAACAGCCGCGGUCCCCCACCCCUCUGAGGUUGAUGGAGGGUUAUAAAAACCCAUGGAGUCCUGAGUACAGGACCCCAUCAACUACACUCUCCCUACUCCUCAUCUUCUUCCUUUGUGCAAGGAGCCAGAUAGCAGUGGCACCGGAGGAGGGGGGGACUGACAGCUCGUCGUCGCACUGCGCCACCGGAGCAGGCACAGCAGCUCGCCGGAAACACUUUACGGCUCCUCGGAGCUAGGUAAACUCCUAACUCCACUGACAUGCUGUUAAGCUAGAUCUAACCUAACUAGGAGCUGUUAACAGAGAAAGAUGGGUAGGGAGAUGAUGUAGUAGAGGGGAAGAUCUCAUCAUGGGCGACAUUCAUCCGGCACUGGAUCGGUUGACCGGAAACCAUUGACGGCCCAUGCUGAAAAACCUUUCCCUCCACUCAACGAUGGCUUUCCCUUCCCUUAAAACCCUAGAUCUAAAAACCCUAAAUGAAUACCUACCUCUAAUACACGGAAGAGCUCUCGGCUGGAGUAGAUCCGGUUCCCAUGGGUGGAACCGGUUUGAUUUCUGGCCGAAGAUGACGGGAGAAGAAGAGCCGAAGGGGGAUCUCCCUAUUUGCCCAUAGCCGUCGCCGACUCGGGGCACCUGGGAUGCCGUCAGGCCGAUCACGAGCGUCGGCCGCGUGCUACGCUGGCACCACUGGCUUCGGCCGGUUCCUCUGCUUCUUGGGGGGGUGCCC